AUUAAAUGCGCACGGAGUCGAUCGAUUUUUCGUCACCAGUGAAAUAUCGAACACGGAGUAGACGCUCUGUAUAACCCGUCUCAGCGUUAUUCUAUCUGUAUACUGAGCGAAACAUGCCCUGCACGGAAAACUAUGAAAAUUCCUCAUCGGAUCAGCAAUUCAACAACUUUCACUAUUGGAGGCAACCGAUUCCCGAAAUAUCUUUCCUGGAGUUAGAUGAAUUAGGACUUCAUAACAAUGAAGAUUAUCUGGAAAUUGAUCCUGCCUUCAACUCUUUCAAUUACUGGCGACUUCCCUUGCCUGAAAUUGAAUUUUCUUUGUGAAAUUCUCUCCUCCUUCGUACUUUAUGAAAUAGGAAAGAGAAUUAUCAGUCAUUUGAUCAGUUUAUGUAUUGUUUUUGAUGCAAUAAAUUAUAUAGAGCAUUA